GGGCGCAGCCUGACGGAGCAUACCGCGUGUGGGAUGAAGCGGCUUCGCCGUGUAAACCACUGUCAGGGGGCAGAAACACUGAUCGCCCCCAGAGGAAGAGCCGGCUAACCCUGUGCCAGCAGCCGCGGUAAGACAGGGGGCUCGAGCGUUAAUCGGAAUUACUGGGCUUAAAGGGUGCGUAGGCGGACCGGGAAGCGUCCCGUGAAAUCCCACGGCUCAACCGUGGAACUGCGGGGCGAACUGCCGGUCUUGAGGAAGGUAGGCGCCGACGGAACAGUAGGUGGAGCGGUGAAAUGCGUAGAUAUCUACUGGAACGCCGAUGGUGAAGACGGUCGGCUGGGCCUUUCCUGACGCUGAGGCACGAAAGCGUGGGGAGCAAACAGGAUUAGAUACCCCGGUAGUCCACGCCGUAAACGAUGCACACUAGAUCGGAGCGGCUCUGACGCCGGUUCGGUCGAAGUAAAAGCACUAAGUGUGCCGCCUGGGGAGUACGGUCGCAAGGCUAAAACUCAAAGGAAUUGACGGGGGC
rnacentral:rRNA from 1 species